GGGCCUGCCACCGGCCUUCUCCCUCUCUCUGGGGCUCCGCUGGUUGUGGCUCACGAGGGCCCGGGGUUCGGGACUGGCCUUCAGAAGGUAGCAAGGACACUGCGGCCUUCGCCUCCUCCCCCGGGAGGCCGCGGUAGCUCCAGAUAACAGUUUUAGACAGACCUUGUUCUUUUGGACUUGAUAGUCUCAUGUAAGAGAAACUUUAAGGUGGAGACAUUCUCUGCAAAAAUCCCGGAAAAAAAUUG